rnacentral:rRNA from 1 species
UGCCCUAGUAACGGCGAGUGAAGCGGCAACAGCUCAAAUUUGAAAUCUGGCUUCGGCCCGAGUUGUAAUUUGCAGAGGAAGCUUUAGGCGCGGCACCUUCUGAGUCCCCUGGAACGGGGCGCCAUAGAGGGUGAGAGCCCCGUAUAGUUGGAUGCCUAGCCUGUGUAAAGCUCCUUCGACGAGUCGAGUAGUUUGGGAAUGCUGCUCAAAAUGGGAGGUAAAUUUCUUCUAAAGCUAAAUACCGGCCAGAGACCGAUAGCGCACAAGUAGAGUGAUCGAAAGAUGAAAAGCACUUUGAAAAGAGGGUUAAAUAGCACGUGAAAUUGUUGAAAGGGAAGCGCUUGUGACCAGACUUGCGCCGGGCUGAUCAUCCGGUGUUCUCACCGGUGCACUCUGCCCGGCUCAGGCCAGCAUCGGUUCUCGCGGGGGGAUAAAGGCCCUGGGAAUGUAGCUCCUCCGGGAGUGUUAUAGCCCGGGGUGUAAUGCCCUCGCGGGGACCGAGGUUCGCGCAUCUGCAAGGAUGCUGGCGUAAUGGUCAUCAGCGA